UACGAAGGGGCUAGCGUUGUUCGGAAUUACUGGGCGUAAAGCGCACGUAGGCGGAUUUGUAAGUCAGGGGUGAAAGUCCCGGGGCUCAACCUCGGAACUGCCUUUGAUACUGCAAGUCUCGAGUCCGAUAGAGGUGAGUGGAAUUCCUAGUGUAGAGGUGAAAUUCGUAGAUAUUAGGAAGAACACCAGUGGCGAAGGCGGCUCACUGGAUCGGUACUGACGCUGAGGUGCGAAAGCGUGGGGAGCAAACAGGG
rnacentral:rRNA from 1 species